rnacentral:rRNA from 1 species
AUUGAACGCUGGCGGCAUGCUUUACACAUGCAAGUCGAACGGCAGCGCGGGCUUCGGCCUGGCGGCGAGUGGCGAACGGGUGAGUAAUGCAUCGGAACGUGCCCAGUAGUGGGGGAUAGCCCGUCGAAAGCCGGAUUAAUACCGCAUACGACCUGAGGGUGAAAGCGGGGGAGCGAAAGGCCUCGCGCUAUUGGAGGGGCCGAUGUCGGAUUAGCUAGUUGGUGGGGUAAAGGCUUACCAAGGCGACGAUCCGUAGCUGGUCUGAGAGGACGACCAGCCACACUGGGACUGAGACACGGCCCAGACUCCUACGGGAGGCAGCAGUGGGGAAUUUUGGACAAUGGGGGCAACCCUGAUCCAGCCAUGCCGCGUGCGGGAAGAAGGCCUUCGGGUUGUAAACCGCUUUUGUUCGGGAAGAAAUCCUCUGGGCUAAUACCCCGGGGGGAUGACGGUACCGGAAGAAUAAGCACCGGCUAACUACGUG